AGUGAACGCUGGCGGUAGGCCUAACACAUGCAAGUCGAACGGCAGCACAGUAAGAGCUUGCUCUUACGGGUGGCGAGUGGCGGACGGGUGAGGAAUACAUCGGAAUCUGCUUUUUCGUGGGGGAUAACGUAGGGAAACUUACGCUAAUACCGCAUACGACCUACGGGUGAAAGCAGGGGAUCUUCGGACCUUGCGCGAUUGAAUGCGCCGAUGUCGGAUUAGCUAGUUGGCGGGUUAAAGGCCCACCAAGGCGACGAUCCGUAGCUGGUCUGAGAGGAGGAUCAGCCACACUGGAACUGAGACACGGUCCAGACUCCUACGGGAGGCAGCAGUGGGGAAUAUUGGACAAUGGGCGCAAGCCUGAUCCAGCCAUACCGCGUGGGUGAAGAAGGCCUUCGGGUUGUAAAGCCCUUUUGUUGGGAAAGAAAAGCAGCAGGUUAAUACCCCGCUGUUCUGACGGUACCCAAAGAAUAAGCACCGGCUAACUUCGUG
rnacentral:rRNA from 1 species